rnacentral:siRNA from 1 species
GGUGUGAUGGUGAUACUCGACUUC